rnacentral:rRNA from 1 species
UGGGGAAUAUUGGACAAUGGGCGCAAGCCUGAUCCAGCCAUGCCGCGUGAGUGAUGAAGGCCCUAGGGUUGUAAAGCUCUUUUGUGCGGGAAGAUAAUGACGGUACCGCAAGAAUAAGCCCCGGCUAACUUCGUGCCAGCAGCCGCGGUAAUACGGGGGGGGCAAGCGUUGUUCGGAAUUACUGGGCGUAAAGGGCUUGUAGGCGGCCAACUAAGUCCGACGUGAAAUCCCCAGGCUCAACCUGGGAACUGCGUCGGAUACUGGAUGGCUUGAAUUCGGGAGAGGGAUGCAGAAUUCCAGGUGUAGCGGUGAAAUGCGUAGAUAUCUGGAGGAAUACCGGUGGCGAAGGCGGCAUCCUGGACCGACAUUGACGCUGAGGAGCGAAAGCUAGGGGAGCAAAC